GUACGCGCAUGAGCCAACAUCUCUGGACUGUCUUUGCUGGAACACGAACGUAAGUAUAUAUUUAUUGAUUUAUUGCUACAUUCGCAGUAAAGAUCAGCCUUUGUGUUUCCAUCAUCAUUUAUGUAUGAUUGUAAUGACGUUUGAUAUUAGGACUAGCAGUAAAACUUUAUAUUCUGUAAAAAAAGGCUAUUUUAUUUCCAGCGCCGCCUCCCAGAAUGCUUUGCAUGGGGACGUGCGUCUGACGUCACGUAUACAGAAAAUUCAAAAUGGCUGCACGCGGUAGGUGAGGCCCUAGCGAAGAAAAGUGGAAAAGAGUGUUAUUCGUCAAAAAACCCACACAACGACGGUCAUUUUUUCGCCGUGCUAUUGUAAAAUUGUCUUUUAUCUGUGUUUUGUGUUCCGGGGGACCCCGACUCCAGAAUGUGAAAGUUUCCCGCGUGAAGCCGUGGAGCUCGAGAUCCUGUUUACUGUGGACUAGCUGUGUGUGACGCCAUGUUGUUUUUGUUUACAUUAAAAAAAAAAGCUCCACCGUCUCGCCGAGUGCCAGCAAGAGUCAUGAGUACUUGUCAACUCGACUCCUCAACUGGAGAUAACUUUCUAG